CGUAUCCUUCAUAUGGAUCUGCAUCAGGAGCUGAGGGGUACAAUCAGGCAAUGCCUACUUCUGGCCCCGGCUAUCCACAGCAAGGUAGCCAGCCAGUUCCAUCUUAUGGUCAGCCUGGUGGACAACAGUCAACUGGCUACGUGCAAGGUCCAACUGGUGGUUAUGGAUCAUACCCAUCUUCACAACAAGGUUAUCCAGAACAGCCAGCUUCAAACAAUGCAGGUUAUGGGUAUCAAGCGACUCAAGAUCCUGCUUAUGGCAGUGUCCCUGGGGCAACCUAUAGUGCACCACCAAGUGGCCAGCAGGCUUAUGCUCAGCCAACAGCAACUCAACCAAGUUAUGAUCAGUCAGUUCCUCAGUCAGGUGCAUAUGGAGCGGCUCCAGGGAGUGCACCAGUUGGGUAUGGG
rnacentral:misc_RNA from 1 species